rnacentral:rRNA from 1 species
CCUACGGGAGGCAGCAGUGAGGAAUAUUGGUCAAUGGCCGGAAGGCUGAACCAGCCAAGCCGCGUGAAGGACGAAGGUGCCAAGCAUUGUAAACUUCUUUUGUCAAGGGACAAAAUCAGGCUUGAGAGCCUGACCGAGGGUACUUGAAGAAAAAGCAUCGGCAAACUCCGUGCCAGCAGCCGCGGUAAUAGGGGGGAUGCGAGCGUUAUCCGGAUUUAUGGGGUGUAAAGGGUGGGUAGGCGGACUAUUAAGUCAGCGGUAAAAGCCCGGGGCUUAACCCCGGCGAGCAGUUGAAACGGGCUGUCUUGAGAUGUCGAGAGGUAAGCGGAAUGCGCAGUGUAGCGGUGAAAUGCUUAGAUAUUGCGCAGAACACCGAUUGCGAAGGCAGAAUACCGGCGGCGAUCUGACGCUGAGGCACGAAAGCGUGGGUAGCGAACAGGAUUAGAUACCCCUGUAGUC